rnacentral:rRNA from 1 species
UACGUAGGGCGCAAGCGUUGUCCGGAAUCACUGGGCGUAAAGGGUGCGUAGGCGGGUCUUUUAAGUCGGGGGUGAAAUCCCAGGGCUCAACCCUGGAACUGCCUUCGAUACUGGCGAUCUUCGAGUCCGGGAGAGGUGAGUGGAACUCCGAGUGUAGAGGUGAAAUUCGUAGAUAUUGCAAGAACACCGGUGGCGAAGGCGGCCAACUGGUCCGGAUCUGACGCUGAGGCGCGAAAGCGUGGGGAGCAAACAGG